AUGAGCGCCAGAAACAGAAGAAAACAAGGAAAUACAACUGAGUUGUGGGCCAAGACCAAGACGGAGGAGAUGCGAUGGCCGACGACAGCUAGUCGAGCCGUGGAUCUGGACGUCGGCCCUCUUCCCAAUCCGUGGAUCAGGAAAGUUCACAAGGUGAAGAUGCCUGGCUUGUGCUUGGUGUUGCUCAUGGCGGCUCUGUUGCUUCCUGGAUCUGAAGGCAAAAUUUGCAAGGAGUAUAGCAAAACAUACACUGUUUCUGAAUGCACGAGCGAACCAUGUGUCGAGCACUGCCAUAACGAGGGUUUCACCGAAGGGGAGUGUAAAACGAGAUGUCAGGCAAAAAGUAAUAAGAUCGUGAGGCGAGCUGUUUGUAACAUCCCAAAAUAUUCCAAUUUUGAGAUGUUAACGAGUAUUCUGUCUCUUGCAAGAAACACUGUUGAUGAUGCCUCAUGCAAAAGGCACAGCACAAUUGGGACAACGGCCAGGGCUUAUUACAGGGCUUCAGUUGUUCCUGGAGCACGAAGCAUUCCAAACAUCAAAUCUUCCAUACCAGACAUCCAAAUCUCUGACUUUGCAGCACAGGAAUAUGGACACCAAGCUCAUCCCAGUGGUGAGAAUAAAACGGACACUAGAUUUAAGAUGUAA
rnacentral:rRNA from 1 species